rnacentral:rRNA from 1 species
ACUCCUACGGGAGGCAGCAGUGGGGAAUCUUGGACAAUGGGCGCAAGCCUGAUCCAGCCAUGCCGCGUGAGUGAUGAAGGCCCUAGGGUCGUAAAGCUCUUUCGCCAGGGAUGAUAAUGACAGUACCUGGUAAACGAAACCCCGGCUAACUCCGUGCCAGCAGCCGCGGUAAUACGGAGGGGUUAGCGUUGUUCGGAAUUACUGGGCGUAAAGCGCGCGUAGGCGGACUGGAAAGUUGGGGUGAAAUCCCGGGGCUCAACCCCGGAACUGCCUCCAAAACUCCCAGUCUUGAGUUCGAGAGAGGUGAGUGGAAUUCCGAGUGUAGAGGUGAAAUUCGUAGAUAUUCGGAGGAACACCAGUGGCGAAGGCGGCUCACUGGCUCGAUACUGACGCUGAGGUGCGAAAGUGUGGGAGCAAACAGGAUUAGAUACCCUGGUAGCGACUGA